rnacentral:tRNA from 1 species
ACUCUAAUAGUUUAUGAAAA